rnacentral:rRNA from 1 species
GAUGAACGCUGGCUACAGGCUUAACACAUGCAAGUCGAGGGGAAACGAUGAGAGAGCUUGCUCUCUUAGUCGUCGACCGGCGCACGGGUGAGUAACGCGUAUCCAACCUGCCUCUGACCAAGGGAUAACCCGUCGAAAGUCGGACUAAUACCUUAUGCAGUCGUCGGAAGUCAUCUGAUGACGACGAAAGAUUUCAUCGGUGAGAGAUGGGGAUGCGUCUGAUUAGCUUGUUGGCGGGGUAACGGCCCACCAAGGCGACGAUCAGUAGGGGUUCUGAGAGGAAGGUCCCCCACAUUGGAACUGAGACACGGUCCAAACUCCUACGGGAGGCAGCAGUGAGGAAUAUUGGUCAAUGGGCGUAAGCCUGAACCAGCCAAGUAGCGUGCAGGAUGACGGCCCUAUGGGUUGUAAACUGCUUUUAUGCGGGGAUAAAGUGAGGGACGUGUCCUUCAUUGCAGGUACCGCAUGAAUAAGGACCGGCUAAUUCCGUG